AGUAUUCAGCUCAAUAGUAAUAUUUUUUGGCCACACCCUAAGCAACUGAAUACCUCCAAAAGUAGACUUUGUACCCGUAGAAUGUCUGAAAGUCGUGGGAGAAGCAGAGAAACUCUGGUCUAGUAACAACAGGAGCCAAUGAUGUCACGCUUCAUGAAGUAUGUCAAACCCAGGUUUAAGAGGAAGUAUUGCUGUAAAUCAUUUUGGGUCUAAAAGGAAACACGCAAUAAUGUGGCUGUGAUGGUGCAUUCCAGGCUGGGGUAGAGCUCACAGAACAAAGAUUCAAGCACUACCUGGAUAGUUUCCUGCAAACUCUAAUUUCUCUUGUUCUUCACAGAAAUGGGAAUUAAAUUAAAUAUAGG
rnacentral:lncRNA from 1 species